AGGGUUGUACAGGAAGACAAAAAAUAAAUGUUGACCUGACAUUAUGGUAAUUUUAACAAAUUUCAAAGGCAAUCAUGAGAAAGUGUCAAACUGAAGGCAUUCGCAAAAAAUUUGUUUUUUGUUAUUUUUUUUCUAAUAUCUGGCUUAAAUUCUGCCAAUGUCAAACAAACUUUCUUUGUACUUUGGAGACUUUUUGUUUAGCCACGAUCGACACCCAACUGCCUAGCGGCACGAAACAAAGUUGAAGUGCCACUGUAUGUGACCAUUGCCAAUAAACAGGGUAGCUUAUAUUCCAAAAAUUGUAAUAUAAGUUUUAAUUUGUUUUUGCACAAAAUUACGUGGAGUAUCUACAAACAAAAUUAGUGCGUAUAUAUCCGAACACGACAUUACACUAAAAAAAUAUUUGCAGAGAUAGCCAUCUUAAAUGACUGACGACAAAGAUCCAUAAUUUAACCGUCAUACUGCGUUCACGUUAUUUAUGCAUGGUUACGUUUGGUUCCAAGUGGCAAUUAAUAAAUAUAAUUUUACGAAUGAUGAUGAAUGAAGACUGGGAGAAGAAAAAAAAAAAAAACUAUUCUCCACAAACGAGAAAUCGAUGGCGCCGCUGGAAGUUAUGUAGUUGCGGCUUUAGGCGGAGACUUAAAAAUAUGUAGUUCCGGCUUUUGGAGGAGACUUAAAUUGACAUUUCUACUCAGCGGCUCACGUUACGAUUUCCUGAAUGGCAAAAAGUCAUUCAAUCGAUUGCCACAUGGAAUAAAGCAGUAAAAUGUAAACUAAAAAGGAAUCGUGUGGAUCUAAAAAGUUGCACAGUGGUCAUUGGUAGAUGCACAAAAUCCAAUGGCGCAUCAAACAGUUGUAUUGUCGAUGGCGUGUGAAACGGACUCGCCGUUCUACGCUGCCGGAGCGGCAGAUGGUAAAAUUGUUUUUUGCACAAAUCUGCGGAAAUCUAUGAAAUGUGUUAUAAUCCACAUGAAAACGUCUUGUCAACAGUAUCGGGGGAUCAUCGAGCGAAAACCUUUAAUAUACCACAGCUGGGCGAUUAAUUGCUUUAGAGGCAAUAAUAAUUCGCAUUGGCUGUAAUGUUGCAGCAAAUUUUGCUAGCCGUACGGCAGGAAGUUACUCCGAGUUUGCGUCGCAAAAUCUGUGAAUUGGUUGCUGGGGUUGCUCGCAGUUUCACUGUCGAAGAUGGCAAAAAAAUCAAAAUCAGCACAUCUGGUGUUGGUGGCCAACUUACUAUAUGGGAUCUCGAGAAUGGACUCACUAAUUCCAUGAACAACUUAAAAAUUGAAGCUUUACUGACAAAUUGUAUUCUACGUGUACUUUUGUUAAAAUAUAUCGAAUUUAAUGAUUCAAUUUGUAAUGAUUUUAAUUCAUUACACAAUUGCAAGUAGAAAACAAGAACAGUUGGCAGCCUGUGUGGAUGUAUGUA